rnacentral:rRNA from 1 species
AUGGAGAGCUCACCGAGAUCUCAGCCCAAACUAUCAGACCUAGAAGAAGAAGGGCAAGCAAAAAGAGAGACGAAGCAAGGAGGGUGGAUCACCCUUCCCUUCAUAGCUGGGAGCAUGCUGGGGCUGGGGCUGGCCAUCAACGGCACCACCAGCAACCUGCAGAUUUACCUCAUCAAGGAGUACAACGUGGAGAGCAUCGACGCGGCGCAGAUCGCCAACAUCGUCCGCGGCUCGCUCAACCUCGUCCCCGUCGCCGGAGCCAUCCUCUCCGACUCCUACUUGGGCUGCUUCCCGGUCAUCCUCGCCGGCGCAGCCAUCAAUGUUCUGUCCUUCGUGCUGUUCACUCUCUCAGCGGCCCUGCCGUCCCUACGGCCGCCGCGCUGCCCGGCGCCGUCUGCCGCGUGCCAGCGCGGAACGCCCGAGCAGCUCGCCGUGCUGUACGCCGCGGUGUCCCUUCUAGCCAUCGGCACCGGCGGGACGCGUUUCAACGUGGCCACCAUGGGCGCGGACCAGUUCGGCGGCGCGCGCGACCAGGACACCUUCUUCAACUGGUACUUUGUGUUCCUCUACGCUUCCUUCCUGAUCGGCGAUACGGCCAUCGUCUACAUCCAGGACGGCGUAUCCUGGGCCCUGGGCUUCGGCGUCUGCCUCGCCGCGACGGCGUUCAGUCUGGUCCUCUUUCUCCUCGGCGCGCGGUACUACCGGAUGCCCGCGGCAAAGGGCAGCCCAUACUCCGAGCUGGCCCGCGUCGUCGUGGCCGCCGUGCGCAAGGCUCGCGUCCGUGUCGGCGCGCUAGGUCCUGUGCGGUACUACGUGGGAGACAAUGCCGUCGUGGACUCGGUCGGCGAGGGCGCUCCAAGUAAACGAUUAAGCUUUCUUAAUCGUGCCGCCAUGAUCACCACCACCGACAACCCGAUGGAUGAUGCGUCGGGUGGUCGUCGUACAAGCGGCUGGCGGCUGUGCAGGGUGCAGCAAGUGGAGGAUCUCAAGUCUCUGCUCGGCGUCUUACCGCUGUGGUCAUCUGGUAUAAUGCUCAGCGUGUCCAUCGGGGUGGUGAUCGGCAUGAUCAUCCUGCAGGCUCUCGCCAUGGACCGCUCCCUCGGACCGCGCUUCAAGAUCCCAGCAGGGUCCAUCACUGUCUGCUCGCUCGUGGCCUUCAUCGCUGUCACCCCGGUCCUUGACCGUGCCGUCUUCCCGCUCUGGCGCAGGAUCACCGGCAUGCCGCCGUCCCCGCUGCAGCGCGUGGGGCUCGGCCACGUCGUGAACAUUGCGGGCAUGGUGGUCGCGGCUCUGGUGGAGCGCCGAAGGUUGAGUGUCGUGCACGCGCACGGCGGCGCCGAUGCGGCGGCCGGCUGGGUUACCCCCAUGUCCGUAUUGUGGCUCCUGCUUCCUCUUGGUGUCGUGGGGAUCGGGGAGGCCCUCCACUUCCCCGGAAACAUGGCCUUCUACUAUCUGGAGUUCCCCAAGACGUUGCGGAGCUUGGCGACGGCCAUGGCGCCGCUGCUCAUCGCCAUGGGGUUCUACCUCAGCACAGUCUUCGUCGACGUGGUGAGGCGGGUCACGGCAUGGCUGCCGGGGAACGUAAACCAGGCGAGGCUGGACAACGUGUACUGGACAGUGGCUGUGGCAGUGACGGUGAACUUUGGCUAUUUCCUCAUUUGUGCCAGCCGAUAUAAGUAUCAAAACCAAUCGACAACCAUGGUGAUGUAA